GGCUCAGAACGAACGCUGGCGGCGCGUCUUAAGCAUGCAAGUCGAACGGCAAGAUUAGUGCUUGCACUAAUCCUAGAGUGGCGGACUGGUGAGUAACGCGUGGGUGACGUACCCUUCUGAUGGGGAUAGCUACUAGAAAUAGUAGAUAAUACCGAAUACGAUUCCGUAAGUUAGAGGUGCGGAAUGAAAGGAGCUUCGGCUCCGCGGAAGGAACGGCCCGCGUACCAUUAGCUAGUUGGUGUGGUAACGGCAUACCAAGGCGAUGAUGGUUACCCGGCCUAAGAGGGUGAUCGGGCACAUUGGGACUGAGAUACGGCCCAGACUCCUACGGGAGGCAGCAGCUAAGAAUAUUCCGCAAUGGAGGAAACUCUGACGGAGCGACGCCGCGUGGAUGAUGAAGGUCGGAAGAUUGUAAAAUCCUUUUAAGUAUGAUGAAUAACCUGAUCAGGAAAUGGGACAGGGAUGACCGUAAUACUUGAAUAAGCAACGGCUAAUUACGUG
rnacentral:rRNA from 1 species